UACGUAGGGGGCUAGCGUUGUCCGGAAUCAUUGGGCGUAAAGCGCGUGUAGGCGGCCCGGUAAGUCCGCUGUGAAAGUCGGGGGCUCAACCCUCGAAUGCCGGUGGAUACUGUCGGGCUAGAGUGCGGGAGAGGCGAGUGGAAUUCCUGGUGUAGCGGUGAAAUGCGCAGAUAUCAGGAGGAACACCGAUUGCGAAGGCAGCUCGCUGGAACGUAACUGACGCUGAGACGCGAAAGCGUGGGGAGCAAACAGG
rnacentral:rRNA from 1 species